CCCGCACAAGCGGUGGAGCAUGUGGUUUAAUCGAUGAUACGCGAGGAACCUUACCUGGGCUCAAAUGUAUGUUGACGUAUUCUGAAAGGGAUACUUCUUCGGACAAUAUACAAGGUGCUGCAUGGUUGUCGUCAGCUCGUGCCGUGAGGUGUCGGGUUAAGUCCCAUAACGAGCGCAACCCUAUCAUUAGUUGCCAUCAGGUCAAGCUGGGGACUCUAAUGAAACUGCCUACGCAAGUAGUGAGGAAGGUGGGGAUGACGUCAAAUCAGCACGGCCCUUACGUCCAGGGCUACACACGUGCUACAAUGGCCGGUACAAAGGGCAGCUACCUGGUGACAGGAUGCAAAUCUCCAAAGUCGGUCUCAGUUCGGAUCGGAGUCUGCAACCCGACUCCGUGAAGUUGGAUUCGCUAGUAAUCGCGCAUCAGCCAUGGCGCGGUGAAUACGUUCCCGGGCCUU
rnacentral:rRNA from 1 species